UGGAAUCUCCUGGUAAAACCCAAACUGCCUCAUCACACGCUUAGGCAAAUGUCGAGAAAGGGUGUCACCAAUCCGAAUCCAUCCAGAAUACAUACAAACUCCGAAUAAUGGACGAAUGCCCCGAUGUGCCUCAUAUGGAUGCCAUACAACUCCACUGUAUGUCAGGCCAUCCAACUACUCCCGAAUCUCUGCAAGAGUCGAAUUCUG
rnacentral:lncRNA from 1 species